UCUACGUGGUGCUGCAGUGGGGAAUAUUGGACAAUGGGCGAAAGCCUGAUCCAGCCAUGCCGCGUGUGUGAAGAAGGCCUUCGGGUUGUAAAGCACUUUCAGUGGGGAAGAAAGCCUUGGGGCUAAUACCCUCGAGGAAGGACAUCACCCACAGAAGAAGCACCGGCUAACUCCGUGCCAGCAGCCGCGGUAAUACGGAGGGUGCGAGCGUUAAUCGGAAUUACUGGGCGUAAAGCGCGCGUAGGCGGUCUGAUAAGCCGGUUGUGAAAGCCCCGGGCUCAACCUGGGAACGGCAUCCGGAACUGUCAGGCUAGAGUGCAGGAGAGGAAGGUAGAAUUCCCGGUGUAGCGGUGAAAUGCGUAGAGAUCGGGAGGAAUACCAGUGGCGAAGGCGGCCUUCUGGACUGACACUGACGCUGAGGUGCGAAAGCGUGGGUAGCAAACAGGAUUAGAUACCCUAGUAGUC
rnacentral:rRNA from 1 species